CAUACCAACCUGAAUGCACCCAAUCUUGUCUAAUCUUGGAAGCUAAACAGGUUUGGGCCUUGCUGGUACUUAGAUGGGAGAGACUAUGUUUUAGGGGAUUGCUUGCCAGUUGUGUGGGAAGGUC
rnacentral:rRNA from 1 species